rnacentral:tRNA from 1 species
UGGGCCAUCGCCAAACGGUAAGGCACUGGACUCUGACUCCAGCAUUUCAAGGUUCAAAUCCUUGUGGCCCAG